CUCCACACCAAUAAGAAGGAAAAUUGUCGUACAUUCAUACAAUACGAUACUAGAUGGACAACAAUGAAAAAGAACAAAGUUCCGCGACAAGAAAGGACAUGGAGCAGAUGAUACCGUGGAAUGGGCCGUAGCUUGUGUCUAGCAAAGUCCACAAAAUCGUAAGUACAGUUUGACAAAUUUUUGCAUAUGUGUACAACCAUGUACCCACCUCCUAGAUCAAAAUACACCCCAUUCCCAGCAUCACAGAAGUCUCCCUUUGUGUCCUCCCGUACAUGCCUUCCCCUCCCCGAGGUAAUGUUAUUUUACCUCUAGUACCAUAAAUUACUUUAUUCUUAUAAAUGGAAUUAUAAUACAAUGUACUCUUUCAUGUCUGGCUUCUUUGGCUCAACUUUAUUUCUGUGAGAUUCAUCAUGUUGUUUUAUAUAGCAGAACUUCAUUCUUUUUUCUCGCUGAAUAGUAUUCCAUUAUAUGCAUGUAUCAUGUUUAUUUCUCUUCUUAUUUUUCAUGGAUGUUUAAGAUGUUUAGUUUCGGGUCCAUAUGAAUAAAUCUGAUAUGAACAUUGUUAUAUCUUCUGUUGGACAUAGCACUCAUUUCUGUUGGAACAUAUACCCAGGAAUUUAAUUGCUAGGUUAUAGGAUGCAUGUGUUUCUAGUCUGGUAAAUAGUGCGAACAGUUUUCCAAAAUGUGCAACUUACAUUCCCAUUAACUGCUGGUGAGAGUUCCAGUUUCUCCAUAUCUUUGCCAACACUUAGUGCUGUGAGUGCUUUGAAUACUAGUGGGUGUGUAGUGGUAUGUCAUUGGGGUUGUAAUUUGCAGUUCCCUAAUGAUCAGUGGUGUUCAUCACCUCAUAUCUAAUUUUUCUAAGUAAUUAAAAAAAUAUUUUUAAGGCAAAAGUGUUUAUCUCCCCACCACAGUGUCCUUUAAGUAGUGAGUCUGUGCUCGUGAGUACCCGCAUUUCCAAUAAGGUGCUCUCUGUAAACAGGCCUUGUGUGUGUGCACAGGAACUGUGUGUGCCUAAAGAGUCGGUGCCCACUCUUUCUAGCUCUGUUGCCAGUAACUAUGUGAGUUAGGACCAUUUUUGCUGUUCUGAGAUGAAUGCUUUAAUCUGGAUGAGUUCUAAACCACACUCACUGUAGGAUUCAGAAACCUCCGUCUGGAAGAAGUGGAUUAGAAUGGAAAGAAUACUAGAUCAGUAAUCAACCUGGGCUCUUUGCGGGCCUUUGCUUUAUUUCAUGGUCUAAACCCCAGUAAGUCUCUUCUUCCCCCUCCUCCUCUACCUUCCUUGAGCAGAUUGUGAUUUGAAAAUAAGCAAUUCUAGAAUCCUUUAAGCCUGGAGAUUAGCAAAACAAUAUACAAAAUUUUAAGACCACAUAAGUUGUCGUUAUUAAAUGUGUGUGCUAAUAGGUAAUAAGCUGUGUCGAUCUUGAGUUAUUCAGAUUUAGCAAUAUGGUCACUUCCGAUACUUAUAGACUGUUUUUCCCUCCCUCCCCCCAUGUAUAUCUAGAAUCUUUUCAACUACAAUUAAACCCUUGUCAAUAUCAAAUUGCAGGAUUUCCACAGACUUCAUUUACUUGGAGUGGAUUCAGUUUCACAUUUUCUAAAACCUAGGCAGGCCUGGGAUAUGAUUCACCCUAACCUCAUUUCCUUGCAUUUUACUUUGUUUAUUUGGUUUUCUGUUUGUUUUGCAGCAAUAUUCUCUGUUGUAACUUUGAGUGACAGUGUUUCUUUUCAGCAUUUUAAAACAACUCACCAUCAGAGCUCAUUAAGUCUUGAAAAUAGUGACUUAUUUGGAUCCCGACCCAUAGAGAAUCUACUGUAUUUUAAUCAUACCUUUGCUUCUGGCUAUUGCUGGUCUUUGGCCAUUCACUAAACAAUACUUGACAAAAUUCUGACAGUAGUGUAAACAGUGUUGCUUAUUCCAUGUACACCAAUUGCAGGAACAGAGGAAAGCUGUGGUCUGGAGCCUGCCUGGGCUUUGGAGUCAAGUGGUGUGAACCCUUGAAAUCAGACUCCUCUUAUUAGCAAUGUAACCUUAGGAAAGUCCCCGAGUUCUCAAUUGUAUUUGUUACGUGCAAAAGUCAGAUAAUAAAGGUACUUCCCUCAUCGGACUAUCAUGUGGAUUGAAUGGGGUAAUACUACACAUUUGAACAGCUUUGAAAAGUAUCUUGUACUUAGAAAUCAUUCAUUAAAUGUCAGUUUCCUUUAUAGAUAUUACUGUCUUUAGGGUUUUUGUGAGGAUUAAAUGUGAUGAUAUAAGUAAAGUGUAUGUCAAAAGGCCUGCUGAUAUUACUACCAAACAAAGAUUUUCCUCUGGCCAGUUGGUUCUACACGAUUUCUGUGUAUUAAGUAAAAUUGCACUUUAGGACACCCCCCCCCCCUCACCCACCCACUCAAAAAGUGAAUUUGCAAGUAGAAUAUUUGGUGCUCAGAAAACCUGGAUUUCCAGGCUAAAGCUUAAAGCUUUUAAUAGUUAUAAUGCAGCUGAAAUGUUAUGUGUAAUGAAAGGAAGCAGUAGCUAGUAUUAAUAUGUUUUCAAAAAUAAAUAAUUAAAAUUUUUAAAAUAAACAUUUUUUUAUUAAAUAAUGAUGUGAUGACAUGUUUUAGUUUCUAAUAAUUUUGUCCUAUGGCCAGUUAAACUCCAUCAGUAGUUGGGGUUUGGGGACAUGGUGGUGUGAGACUCUGGGACUAAUUCAAUUCUUAAAGAAGCUGUAAGAAUUCUUUUUAUUUUCUUUAUUACAAAACUACAUUAGUUUCAGGUAACACUUCAAGAAUCUGUAAGAAUUCUUACAUAGAAGUUACUAAUAGAAUCAUACUAAUCUUGCUACUCGCAUCACUUACCUGUGGUCUGCGCCUCUGUCUGGCCUCCCGGUGUUUCUCAGUAAUAGAGUGCCUUGCCUUGUCCCUGCAUUUUUCUCCCGUAUUAUUUCAAGAGGUUGGACCAGGCAACUGAUUGUAGUCUGCUGAGAGACUUGAUUUCUUGCCCUUGGUCCCUUUUGAGUACCCUUUUGCAAAACAAGACCCUCAGAAAGCUAGGUCCCUCCCUGUGGGAACUGUCGGUCACUGAGUGCAGUUGAACGGGUUGUGCACCGCACAGUCUCAGGAAGUGCCAUCACGUGGACGCCAGACGACCUGCUCAGCUGGACGUGGUGGCCCAGUGACUUGUUCACCGGGUAACACAUGGAACCUCUUUCUGGAUGCUUGACGGGCCCCAGAUAACCACAGUUGAUGUGUGUCGUGGUUUUGGGGGGACUGUUGGUAGGGUGUUGUCCAGGGAUCCUAACACGGUGCAGAUGGCCAGCCUUGCGGAUGGACUUCAGCCUACAGACGUGCUGACAGGAUCCUUCAGGCUGCCCAGACAUGUUUCUGAGUAUGGACUGAUCCUAACUACGUCUACCGGUUUCUGAGACACAGAGCUGGCUGCCAUUUUGUCAGCUGUACUGGUGUUUGGGGAGAGACAAAGAAUGAGUAUUCUACUUAGGGCAUUCCUUCUCUUAGCUGCCAGUUUGAAGAUACUUGAUGAGCAUUACAUCCAAAUAGGUAAGUGAGUAUAAUUACUAGACUCUGGGAAGACAUAGGGAAAUGUCGAUCUUCCACCCAGCACACUCACUCAUGGAAUCCUUCUGAGCCGCAUAGACAAGUUCCCUUUCUGAACCCUGCUUCCUGGGCUGAUGUUUUCAUAUGGUCUCUCUGUGCAUUAAAGGCACUGGCUGGGCUGUAGUCUGGCUGCCAUUCCUUACCACCGGGAAAAGUUCCGUGUGAUGUGUGGAUACAUUUGGCCAGUUCUCAGUCCUUCUAGGCUCAUCCCUCUAUUGCAGUCUAUAUUUUCAGUUUUGAUAUUUAUACCGAAGGUCUCAUCCCUUUUGCAAAGCAAGAGCCCAAAAAAGCUAGGUCCUCCCCUGUGGGAACUGUCAGGGUGACUGAGUGCAGUGAACCAAUUGUGCACUGCACGGCCGCAGGAAGUGCCACUCACAUGGAUGCCAUACGACCUGCUCAGCUGGACGUGGUGGCCCAGUGACCCUUGUUCACCUGCUGUGCUCCUGCUUGAAUCUCAUGUUACCUGAUAUUCUUGGUUUGCUUUUGUCCCUGGGAAUAGUCUACCUUGGAGUUGAACUUCACUGUUGUCUCUAGUCUCCCCCUACCGAUGUGGUUUUUUUCCGGGAAUACAGGGUUCCUCAUCUUGUGUGAUGAGCAUGACUCCUUACCUUUCUCUGGAUUGCAGUGCAUCUCUUCUCCCUCUUUCACAGAGAACGUGUCUCAUCUAUAGCCUCUUCCACAGUUCUGCCUACUCCUCCCUGCUGGCUUUUCCCUUCUGCAUAUUAGAGUGUACCCGACUCAGUGGUCAGCACCCCCUUCCUCUGAGUUUUGCCCCAUCUGGCUGUUUCCAGUACAACUCAAUGAGAGCCUAGGAGGGCUUAUCCACUCCCGUGGCUCCGCGGUCACGGUUAAACUUAUGGCUUUCCUAACUUCCUGUUCUCUGAAUGGAUGUUGCCUGGAGCUCUGGCCAGAUGAAGGGUUUUCUGCUGGUAGGGGGGCUGCACCUCCUUUUUUCUCUGGUUUGGACUUGCUGUGGAGAACAACCAGUGUAUGAACCAUGCAGCCCCUCUCUGUACCUGGCCAGAGUCAAGUCAACUGCACUUGGCAAUAACCUACCCGUGGCCCCUGAAGAAGUGUUCCUAGGAGAUCAGUGUCCUGGAACCUCGGUGCCUGAAGGCUUUUAUGAAUCCUGAUACCGUCCCACUGGUUGUACCAUUAGGAUUGAGGUCCUUCCAGGGGAUCAUCUCCUUUUUAUAUCUGAUUUUUAAGUCAAUGUUCUCCACUCUUGAAGCUUCAGUACCUGUGGCCUGAGCUGUACCCCGCCACCCAGCUCCUGUAAGAGUAAGCACAGGAAAUGUUGCAAAUAAACAAGGUGGUCCCCCCAAAAGAUCAGGAAUAGCAAAUUUAUACAGUGGAAAGACAAGCAGAAAUUCAAGAGCGAUGCUCAGUUUUGCUACUUUAAAAAGUCACCUGGCUGAUCUUGCUCCACCUGAGAGUUCAGAAGCUGAGAGAGCCCCCACAGCUGUGACAUAGGAGGACUGCUGUUAGGGGCCGGAAUCAGCCUCAGGACCCUGUUUGUUAUCUUAAGUUUUUAAACAUUUUACAUUGGAUUUUUAAUGGAAUGGAUCUUUGGGGUUUUACAAUCCUUUACCUAGAAGGGUCUGCCUCUGUUUUUAACCUCAUACGUACUUUCUAAUAAAAUUUUUUUGAAUUCAUGGCAUUCCUGUCUGUAUUUUCACUUGCAAUUUCUUUCCUGAGCUGCCAACCCAGCUACUGAACCACAGGUCUGCUGCACUUAGUGUUCCACUAAGAACUGAACCUCUUCCCACCAGACAUGCUUUCUUCCCCGGUCGCCUGCAGUGAGGAGCGCACAGCCGCACUGAGCCCUCAGUCUCACUGGUGCCGACCCCUCAGGUGCAUAUGUCUCUUGGUUCUAAUUCCUCAUUCCAAGGCCUCCUGUUUUCCUCCAGAAUUACCUCAUCACUUCCUAAAACUCAUUCCAGGCUCCGGGGACAUAUAAUCUGUUGUAACACUGCUCUAAAUAUUUUUUUCCAAAACACUUUAUUAGCUUGAAAUCCUUCAGUGCUUCCCAGCACCUUGAACAUAGAAUCCAGACUUCUCAUCAUGUGUAUAAGGCCUUUGGUGUUCUGGCCGGUGUUUCUCUAACUGCAACUCUGACCUCUGCUGCGUGCCACUCACCUGCAAUCGGGACUGAGCCCCCCCCCCCCCCCCAACAUCCACACCACCUCUCCCAAGCCUCUCACACUUCAGUCCAUUGUCACUUCUUUCAGGCCCUGCUUCUCUUCCUCAUCCACUCACCUGGCAGUGACAUUCUUCCUGUUUCCUGUUCCUUCCAUGGCACCAAGCAUUUCUACUGUCCACGUUGGUCCAAGUCUUCCCUAGACUGGAAGCUCCCUGACGGCAAGAACUAUGUCUUAUCUUUGUGUCCUGUCGACUAGAAUGUACCUGUGCAACAUACUUAAUAAAAGUUUGUUGGAUAAAAA